AAAAAAUGCAAGUCGAGCGGGUCCCGCAGCAAUGCGGGUUCAGCGGCGAACGGUCGCGUAACACGUAAGCAACCUGCCCCGAAGACCGGGACAACAGCUCGAAAGGGCUGCUAAUACCGGAUGUGGCCGCCUCACCGCAUGAUGAGGCGAUUAAACCCAGCAAUGGGCUUCGGGAGGGGCUUGCGGCCUAUCAGCUAGUUGGUGGGGUAACGGCCUACCAAGGCGACGACGGGUAGCUGGUCUGAGAGGACGAUCAGCCGGACUGGGACUGAGACACGGCCCAGACUCCUACGGGGGGCAGCAAUUAGGAAUCUUGCGCAAUGGGGGAAACCCUGACGCAGCGACGCCGCGUGGAGGACGAAGUCCUUCGGGAUGUAAACUCCUUUUCAGAGAGAAGAAACAAAUGACGGUAUCUCUGGAAUAAGCCCCGGCUAACUACGUGCCAGCAGCCGCGGUAAUACGUAGGGGGCGAGCGUNGUCCGAAGUUACUGGGCGUAAAGCGCGCGUAGGCGGGUCGCUAAGUGAGAAGUGAAAUCCUGNGGCUCAACUUCA
rnacentral:rRNA from 1 species